AAGACGCGUUCACUCCCUCCAGAGGAGCGCACAGCUUUUUUCUUUUUCUUCUUCCAGGGAGCCAGAGGUGGGGAGAGAGGGAGAGAAGAAAAAUCCAGUCAGCGUUCUGUUGCACUUUCAGAUGAGUUCUUCUACCUCGUUAGAGAUAUCGGCAUAGCUGACAGAUCAUUUUACGCCAGUUUAAGGGAUGUUUUAGGGACAAAUUGUCUCCAAGGGGCAAUUGGAGCGGGCAGCCUGAGCCCUUAUAAUGCGGAGAGAUCAAGUCUCAGUAGUUUGUCGGUAUGAACGCAGCACAGACGGACCCCGAGAAACUGCUUUCAUGGAUUGACUGAUUGAUUGAUUGACAUUUGAUUUUUUUUUUAUUUUUUUUGUUGCAUUAGCAGAGGAUUUUCCUGCCUGCGCCGUGGUUAAUCUAAAAUCCCCUUAAAAAAAAUCUUACAAAAAAGAAAUCGCGGAUUAUUUUUUGGGAUUCGAGGAUUUUCUUUUUUCUUUUUUCUUUUUCUCCACGUCUUUAAUGAGGAUAUUGAUUUUGUCACAGUUAGACUACAGCCUGGGUCAAGGAUCCGGAGAGGGGAAUUAACCUUUCACAAGGUGGAAAUAUUAGUCUUUCCGGAGCCUAACUCAUCUGCGCUGCCGCCGAGUCCAACAUGAAGUCUGACACUGUGUGGAUGUGCGUCCACAUCUUUCUUCUGCUCUUAGAUAAGGCAGCAAGUUCCUUGGAUGGUCCCUCAGCUUUGUCCAUGUCCUUGGCCAACGAUUCCCCAGGAUCUCCAGACGCUGGGUCUGGGCCGGGAGCUCAGCCAGAAUGGGUGGACUGCAUCCAGGCGAGUGACAUGUGCAACCAGAACCCUUACUGCAGCUCUCGGUACCGGGUGAUGCGCCAGUGCCUUGUGGGCAAGGAGAAGGAAGCCAUGCUGGACAACAACAGGGAGUGCCAGGCUGCCUUGGAAGUGCUGCUGGUUAGUCCUCUGUACGACUGCCGCUGCAAGAGGGGCAUGAAGAAGGAGCUGCAGUGUCUGCAGAACUACUGGACCAUCCACAUGGGGCUCACUGAAGGCGGAGACAUGGAUGACUCAUCACCGUAUGAACCCGUGGCACCAAACCGACAGCCUGACGUGUUUCGCUUGGCCUCCAUCUCCUCAGGGAUGCACACAGUUGCCCCAAAAGGUUUCCACUGCCUCGACCCUGAGAGGAACUGCAAUCCCUGUCUUGAUGCGGCCAAAGCCUGCAACCUCAACGGAAGCUGCAAGAGGCAGCGCUCCGCCUACAUCGCUACCUGCAGCAAGGAGGACCCCAACAAGGGUGAAACCUGCAGCAAGAAGCGCUGCCACAAAGCGCUUAGGUUGUUCCUGGACCGCGUGCCCCCUGAGUUCAGCCACCGGCUGCUCUUCUGCCCCUGCCAGAGUGAAGGUUGUGCAGAGCGACGCAGGCAGACGAUUGUGCCUGAUUGCUCCUAUAAAGAUAAGGAGAAGCCCAACUGUCUGGAGCUACGGAAGGUCUGCCGCCAGGAUUCUCUCUGCAGGUCUAGGCUGGCUGAUUACCUGGUGAACUGCUGGGUAACUCCCCACGCAGUGAGCACCUGCCCCAACCAAGACAAUCACCAAGCCUGCUUGGCCUCCUACGCGAGGCUCAUCGGGACAGAAAUGACUCCCAACUACGUCGACAGCAGCUUCUCCAACUGGACCAUCUCCCCGUGGUGCACCUGCAAGGGCAGCGGAAACCAAGAGGAGGAAUGUUUGAACUUCCUGCGGUACUUCACCGACAACACAUGCCUAAGAAAUGCCAUACAGGCCUUCGGUUACGGGAUAGACAACGUGCAGAACAAAAGUGUGUCUGUCCCGGCUGCCUCGGUGACGACGAAGAUGGGCUCAGAUUGGUCAACAGCCACCUCGGAACCGCCCUUUGUCACCAUCCCAAAGUAUCCUGAACCAAGAGACGGUGGCCUGGGCGAAACCCGGGGCCUGCCAGAGGAUCACUCUGCCUGUCUGUGUGCCAGCGUCUGGGCUCUGGUUCCCGGCCUGGCUUUGGCUCUGGUCCUGGCCCAGCAUGCCUUAUAGGAGCGCCAGGAGGAGAAAAAAGAGGUCAUCCACCCACAAGCUGAUCCCAAAAGCAGAAGGGACGGACCAAAACUGUGAUGAAGCACAUGGCGUUCAAAGGGACCCUUGACAGGAGAGGCCGCGAAGGCUGUUCUCUGGGAGCGAUUCUCUCCCUCUGACCAAGACACAAAAAAAACCUGGAGGACUGAGGCCGAUCACGUCAAAGACUACUGCACAUUUCUCAAAGGGAGAGAGGGAAUGAGCAACAUAAUUAAAAGAAGACAGGAUUGACAGUAAAGAAAUUGUUGCAGAGAGAAAAAGGAAUGAGCACGAGGUAAAUUGGGUAGAGUGAGAGUGGACAGAGAGAGAGAGAGAGAGAGAGAGAGAGAGAGAGAGAGAAAGAGACAUAUUUCUGCUAUCAGUCACACUUUUUUUUGUCUUGAAUUGGUUCUCGACUUAAUCUUCUCGUGGAUGAGCAGACCGCAAAUUUCGGGGUGGGGAUGGGGGGGGGGGGGGGUGAUUACAUUCUGUCUCUUCAACACAAGUGUAAACUCUAAACUGUAAAGCCUACUCAGUGUUCUAAGUGUUGGUAUAGUAUCCGUGACCAUAAUCAAUCUACCGUACUGCUCUUUCAUUUGGGUGCUACCUUAAACUUUUUUCAGUGGUCGGAGAAAAACUACUACAGGCGGCGCCGUUACCAGUUUAUGGUUCUUUGGUCAUUUGAGAUGUUGUUGUUGGUGACUCGUGGGUGUACGCCAUACGUCCACCUGCACAUGUGUAUAUUUCUGUCUCUAUGUAUAUAAACAACACUUUUCUCUCAUUCAGCUGAACGAUAUCCCCAGUACCUUGAAUGGACAUUACUGUACGCUAUGACGACUCUGUAUUGAUUAUUGGUACUAAUGGAAGGCCUUCAUUAUCUGCGUUUAUAUUUGUCUAUAAAGGUUUGAUCACAAAGAAUGUAUACAGGGAUGAGAUUAAACGAGCUCAAACUGCUUGGAAAGCCAUAACCUGUGUGUGAGUAUCAUACUGUGUUCCCUGAGUGUGUGUGUCUGUGUGUGUGUGUGUGUGUGUGUGUGUGUGUGUGUGGGUGUGUACGUGCGGGUGUGCGCCUCUGUGUUUACAUGCAGGAGAAAAGUAGCUUAUAAGGCGCAGUUUAAAUUGGCAGUGUGGGAGUUCACUCUGCCCCCUCAGAGAGCAGAGGUUAUGAUGCAUGGUGUAAUUAACGACCAGUGUUUUUUUUUUUUUUUUUGAGAGUAAGGGCGGCCACCAGUUUUGGAGAGUGCAUGUCCUGGCCCUUUUAACACUGUUUCUCUUCUUUUCGUAGAAUAUUUCAAAAAGUCUCAUAUUGUAGGAAUCCAAAAACAUCCUUCAUUUACAUCCAUAGUAUAUGACCAUAUCUAUUUACCUGAAAAUAUUUUGUUCUAUAAAAUCUGAACGUGUCCUUCAAAAAGGUUUUUUUUUUGUCCAGAGUUUGUAUAAAGUGGACUUUGAAACAAGGUAGUUGUUCAGUAGUUCAGAUUCAGAUUUGUUGGCUGGAUAUAAAUCGACUGACAGCAUUUGGUUAGCUUAGCAUAAAGACUGGAAACAAGGGGCAACAGCUAGCGUGGCGCUGUCUCAAGGUAACACAAUCUGAAAGGCGCAGUCUGUCAUAAAUGAAGUUAAACACCAAUAAGAUUUGUGUAAACCCACUCAGUGAACUACAUCCUCUCACCCUUUAAGCACCACUGACAUUCACAUGAACAACACCAAGGCACAGAAAGAGGAUUGAAAAAGGUGAAAUUAUUGACAACUGUAGUUAGGUGCAUGGAGAGUUAGUCAGCUAUGUGAGAUGCUCAUAUUCAGGACCAAUUCUGGUUUACCUUCUCACAAAGAUUAUCUUUUAAAUAGACAAGCGUCUUUCAUGGCACAAUUCAUAGGGGAUAAAGAAAUGAUUUGUCACCCUCCAUUCACUACCGUACAUAGUUUUUCUGAAAUAAGGUCCCGUGGUAAUUCACAAUUCACUGCGUGUAUCAGCACACGUAUCAUAAAUCACUUCCUGUCCUCUGUCUGCGGUUUUCAUUGGCUACGGAAAGAUGUGACAUAAUAGAAAAACAAGCUAUUAGUAUGUCGUGUCCUGCUUGUUGAGUCCUUACUCAAAGUGAGGCGUAAAAGUGAUACCAAAGGCACUCCAAAAAGGAAAAUAUCAAGAAACGAGGAAGGGAAUUUAGAAAAAAAAAACUCUUUCAUGUCAUGGCUAUGUUAUUAAAAGGGCGUUCAAUAAAAAAGACAACAUGUUUCCACCAUCAAACAAACAACACCAUGGCCACAGCCAAGAGGGCCUAGAUGUUUUUUUGUAAACUAUUUUUCCUAUAAAGGUUUCCACUUUCUUUACAGCCUUUUGGGAUAUUAUUCUAUUCUGUGUGCUGUAAGCAUGUAACCAUCUCCUGUGUUUUUAUGCUUCAUUAACUUGAAUUGGCCACGUGCUGCUGUUGAUGGUCGAGACGUGUUGGCCUUUUUUUUAAUGAUUCAGCCACAAUAAUAAAUGCUUUUUAUUAUUAUAUAUUAUAUUUGCCUGGAUUACCUUUGGAAUUGACCUUUUCUCCCAUUUCCCAAGAGCACACAACACAAUUUGUUGCCUACAUUAUGUUGAAUUGAGCAACCAGUCAUCUUCUCUUUCUUCUGUAAAAAUUAUAUGUUUGGAUUUAAUUGGGGGGAUUAUUUACCUUGAGCUUACUGACAUGAGAUUGGUAUCUAUCAUCAAUCUACAUCCUUUCAAAAAGCAUGGGUUUUAUACUUACUUACCUCCUCUGCGGCGCUAGAUAUAAAUAAAUAUAUAUAAAUCAGAAUGCACAGAAAAGCAAUUUUGGAUGGUACCCCCUUGAUUUGACUAGUGAUUUUGUUAGGAAAAGAUCGCAUCAUGGCCGAUAUGGGUAGCAGCUCUGUUGUAUGGACAUGAGAGCAUCAUAUUGAAAGUCGUGCUGCAUUCUUCUUUUUAAUCUCAUCACAUUUCAGCCUCAGGCCCUCUUCAAGUUCAACAGCCAUACUUAGUCACAGGCAGUGGUGUUUUAUAUAGGCUACACCCUAAUGGCACAUGUGAUGGUGAUUAGACAACCAUCCUCCAGCACAAUGGAACAAUCAGGAGGCCUUAAGUGACUUGUUUGUUCCCACCCUAGUGGUUGAGGAUGAUCAUGAUCUUGAAGAGGGCCUGAGGGCCAAAACUUCAUCGGAUUAAAAAGAAAAAUGCACAUGGAGCCAGC